GACGAACGCUGGCGGCGUGCUUAACACAUGCAAGUCGAACGAUGAAGCCCUUCGGGUGGAUUAGUGGCGAACGGGUGAGUAACACGUGGGCAAUCUGCCCUUCACUCUGGGACAAGCCCUGGAAACGGGGUCUAAUACCGGAUAUGACACACGGCCGCAUGGUCUGUGUGUGGAAAGCUCCGGCGGUGAAGGAUGAGCCCGCGGCCUAUCAGCUUGUUGGUGGGGGAUGGCCUACCAAGGCGACGACGGGUAGCCGGCCUGAGAGGGCGACCGGCCACACUGGGACUGAGACACGGCCCAGACUCCUACGGGAGGCAGCAGUGGGGAAUAUUGCACAAUGGGCGAAAGCCUGAUGCAGCGACGCCGCGUGAGGGAUGACGGCCU
rnacentral:rRNA from 1 species